rnacentral:rRNA from 1 species
UACGAGGGGGGCGAGCGUUGUUCGGAAUUACUGGGCGUAAAGGGUUCGUAGGUGGCCAACUAAGUCAGACGUGAAAUCCCUCAGCUUAACUGGGGAACUGCGUCUGAUACUGGAUGGCUUGAGUGCAGGAGAGGAAUGCGGAAUUCCAGGUGUAGCGGUGAAAUGCGUAGAUAUCUGGAGGAACACCGGUGGCGAAGGCGGCAUGCUGGACUGUAACUGACACUGAGGAACGAAAGCCAGGGGAGCAAACGGG